rnacentral:rRNA from 1 species
GAUGAACGCUGGCGGCGUGCCUAAUACAUGCAAGUCGAGCGAACAGACGAGGAGCUUGCUCCUCUGACGUUAGCGGCGGACGGGUGAGUAACACGUAGGUAACCUACCUAUAAGACUGGGAUAACUUCGGGAAACCGGAGCUAAUACCGGAUAAUAUUUUGAACCGCAUGGUUCGAUAGUGAAAGAUGGCUUUGCUGUCACUUAUAGAUGGACCUGCGCCGCAUUAGCUAGUUGGUAAGGUAACGGCUUACCAAGGCAACGAUACGUAGCCGACCUGAGAGGGUGAUCGGCCACACUGGAACUGAGACACGGUCCAGACUCCUACGGGAGGCAGAAGUAGGGAAUCUUCCGCAAUGGGCGAAAGCCUGACGGAGCAACGCCGCGUGAGUGAUGAAGGUCUUCGGAUCGUAAAACUCUGUUAUUAGGGAAGAACAAAUGUGUAAGUAACUAUGCACGUCUUGACGGUACCUAAUCAGAAAGCCACGGCUAACUACGUG